CCGUAUGUAAACAUGGGAUGGAGUUUUUUACUAUAUAAAGUGAUCAAACAAUUCAACAUUUAUUAUAUGCAAAGUUAAAAAAAAAAUGGCUAAAAUUAUCAAGUUUCUUUAUAAUACGAUCCUUUUUGUUUGUUUGUUUCUUCAUGUAACUUAUGGUGAUAGAGAGUGUGUUACUAGCGCUGAUUGCCAAAAAAAAUACCAUGGCAAUCAACAUCUAUCGAAGUGUCGUUACGGUCAUUGUGUGAGCUAUACCAAAUAGGUAUAUAUAGGUUAUCCUCAUGACAAGACUGGGGAGUAGUAUCAAGGUGUUUAUGUACGAGAAUAAAAUGGAUAUUUAUUUUGUAACCUAUAUUAUGUUUUUCUUAAAAGUUUGUUUGAUUAUUGUUUAUGUUUAAAUUAUGUUAUAGGCACUUGUAUUGUGACAUCAAUUCCAAGUUUAAUAUUUGGACUUGACUUAUUAUCUUGGAUCUUGAGAAAACAUUACAUAUUUUAUUUUAUUGUGAG